rnacentral:rRNA from 1 species
AACGAACGCUGGCGGCGUGCUUAACACAUGCAAGUCGAACGCGAAAGGGACUUCGGUCCUGAGUAAAGUGGCGCACGGGUGAGUAACACGUGGAUAACCUACCCAGUGUUCCGGGAUAACAUCUCGAAAGGGGUGCUAAUACCGGAUAAGCCCACGGGAACUUCGGUUCUUGCGGGAAAAGGUGGGGACCUUUUAGGCCUACUGUCACUGGAUGAGUCCGCGGCCCAUUAGCUAGUUGGUGGGGUAAUGGCCUACCAAGGCUACGAUGGGUAGCUGGACUGAGCGGAUGAGCAGCCACACUGGGACUGAGAAACAGUCCAGACUCCUACGGGAGGCAGCAGUGGGGAAUUUUGCGCAAUGGGCGAAAGCCUGACGCAGCGACGCCGCGUGAGUGAUGAAGGCCUUCGGGUCGUGAAGCCCUUUCGGACGGGGCGAACGCUUUCCGGUGAAAGCCGGGAAGCUUGACGGUACCGUAGGAAGAAGCACCGGCUAACUCCGUGCCAGCAGCCGCAGUAAAAC